ACGGUGGGGUCAAGGGUCAGCUCUAGUCACCAUGCUGCAAGACAUGUAGUCAGUGACAAUCAGUCAACUGUGAUACACAGACAGUGCCAAGGCAUCUCCAAGUCUUCAGAUAAAGUACUACACACUACAACCUUGUUAAGAUGGUCAGAGAGCUAGUAGCCUUGCUGAAGGACUGGUGGAAGGUUAUCUUCCUUUACUCAGUCCUCACAACCUUCUACGCUAUCCUGGUCAUCGUCUGGACAUGCUACUACAUCUUCACUUUGCAAUGGCUACGGAGGACGAAACAUGAAGCAUCCAUAAAACCUAGAGUGCUGGGCUGCUCUUGACUGAAUCCCCCCUCUAAACCAGG